CCCUGCUAUCAACUACAGAGAUUGAUUGGCUUAACAACUACCACUCACAAGUCUAGGAAAAGGUGUCGCGAUUGCUGGAUGGCUCUGCUCGACAGUUGCUUUGGGACAACACAAGGCCUAUUAUGCAAUGAGACUUGACAGAAGCUAAUGGAUUUUCAUGUUAAGGUCCCAUGCCACUUGUGCUUCACGUUCACAUUCUGGCGUAUCUCACUCCUUCCUUGCUUUGUCUCUAAUCAAUCUGCAUAAUUCAUAUAGCAAACUAUGUGUAUAAUAAAAGAGUGAGAAUUAGAGGCUGUAGAUAUCUCAAGUCAACUCCAGAUCAUAUUCAUUGGAUUUUAGACUUUUAGUUAGGUAAGACGAGCAAUUUAGCUGUUUGCAGUUGC